rnacentral:lncRNA from 1 species
UCGUUGAUUUGUUACCUUGUGUUAGAUUUCAUCGAUCCAAGCAAUUACAUGAUAACAUCUUCCAAAAUAAAUAACCAUUAUAUCUAUGGGAUUUGAUUUCUUGAGUAGAAUUCGGAAGAACAACAUAGGAUAUAGUGAUACAUGUAGUAGAUUUCAUAAAUCUAAUAAUAAGUCAAACAAAAAUACCAAUCGGGAAAUAAAAAGAAGAAGGAAAUAGAGAUACAAAAGGAUGUCGAAAUUAAGAAAAGGAAACACAAAAAUAAAAAGACAAGAGAGAGAGAUGACAAAAACACACACUUGAUUUGGUGACUUUCAAGAUGAAAGAUCGCUUUGAAGCAGCGAAGGAUCGGACCGAGACGCUUGAUUCCCCUUUCUGGUUCUCGUACGCACACGUGGAUGGAUGAAAGAUACAAACAUAUGAUGAUGAUGAUCGAUCAAGAACUGAUCUAAAUGAAAAAGUAGAUCAGAGAGAUAAGGAAGUGAACCCUAAUCUUAAAACCUUGAUGGUGAUGAUGAUAAGAAUAAUUAUCAACUAUUUCAUCUUCUUUUUCUUGGGAUUCUUGAUCUUUGGUUUGUGUGUUGUUGAUGUCUUCUUCUUCUUGGGUAUUGGGACUUGGGAGGUGAAGAGAAAGAAGAAGGAGAAGAAGACGACGAAGAUGAUGAACAUGAAUUACCAUCAUCACUAUCAUCAUGAUAUUGGGAAUUAAAGUGAAGGGGAAGAGAGAGAGAGAGAAGAGUGAGGUUGUAAUGAUGAUGAGGUAUGAAGAGAAGUCAGAGGUAGGGGAGGAAAAUUAUCAUUACUACUUUGAACAAAAUGUUUUCUAGCUUCUCUCUUUUUUUUUCUUUUUUUUUUCUUUUUGUGGGCUUCGAAAUAUCCUAACCCUAUCUUAAUGCCCUUGAGCUUUUCUCUCUCUAUUCAUGAGGAGAUAGAUAGAGAGACACAUAUGCCUUUGUGACAUAGGGGUAAUUAAAACUUUUUUCAAUUGCCUAUCCAAUGUUCCACGAGGAAAGCUUAUUUUAUUUUAUUUUUUUACCACAUAUUUUGAUUAAUAUCAACCAAAAUCUCAUUUCUUAGUUUGAUGUCUUUUUUUUCCAAAAAUGUAUUUCAUAGUUUGAUAUCAAG